AUGUAAUGUAAUUCCUACAAUGUUAAUGCAUUAGAUCAUGUUAGAACUACGCAGUUAAGUGCGGUUGGGCUAGAUUAGUACUGAGAUGGGUGACCUCCCAGGAAGUCCUAGUGUUUUACAUG
rfam:Picea glauca, whole genome shotgun sequence.